UCCAAGAGUUCAUAUCGACGACGCGGUUUGGCACCUCGAUGUCGGCUCGUCGCAUCCUGGGGCUGGAGAAGGUCCCAAGGGUUGGGUUGUUCACCCAUUAAAGCGGGACGCGAGUUGGGUUCAGAACGUCGUGAGACAGUUCGGUCCCUAUCUACUGUGACCGUAGGAUAUUUGAGAGAUGCUGACCCUAGUACGAGAGGACCGGGUUGGACGAGCCUCUGAUAGUACCAGUUGUUCCACCAGGAGCACGGCUGGAUAGUUAAGCUCGGAAAAGGUAACCGCUGAAAGCAUCUAAGUGGGAAACUUGUCUCAAGAUUAGAUAUCCCUCUCCUUUAUGGAGGUAAGACCUCUGGUAGACUACCAGUUUGAUAGGCAUUAAGUGUAAGCCCUGUAAGGGGUUGAGCUGAGAUGUACUAAUUGGUCGAGCGGGUUUAUCG
rnacentral:rRNA from 1 species